rnacentral:miRNA from 1 species
UCAGUUUGGUUUUUUUCCCCUUGA